rnacentral:rRNA from 1 species
GGAGUUUGGACCGUGUCUCAGUUCCAAUGUGGCCGUUCACCCUCUCAGGCCGGCUAUUGAUCGUUGCUUUGGUAGGCCGUUACCCUACCAACUGGCUAAUCAAACGCGGGUCCAUCCUUAAGCGAAAUUCUUUUCCUCACAAAGUCAUGCGACUUCGUAAGCAUAUGGUGUAUUAGCACUGAUUUCUCAAUGUUAUUCCCCUCUUAAGGGCAGGUUACCCACGCGUUACUCACCCGUCCGCCACUAGAAUUCUCAUAUCUUUGACCGAAGUCUCCGUUAUGAGGUUCCCGUUCGACUUGCAUGUGUUAGGCACGCCGCCAGCGUUCAUC